rnacentral:rRNA from 1 species
GGGUUGUGAGGUUAAGCGACUAAGCGUACACGGUGGAUGCCCUGGCAGUCAGAGGCGAUGAAGGGCGUGCUAAUCUGCGAUAAGCGCCGGUAAGGUGAUAUGAACCGUUAUAACCGGCGAUACCCGAAUGGGGAAACCCAGUGUGACUCGUCACACUAUCAUUAACUGAAUCCAUAGGUUAAUGAGGCGAACCGGGGGAACUGAAACAUCUAAGUACCCCGAGGAAAAGAAAUCAACCGAGAUUCCCCCAGUAGCGGCGAGCGAACGGGGAGGAGCCCAGAGCCUGAAUCAGCAUGUGUGUUAGUGGAAGCGUCUGGAAAGGCGCGCGAUACAGGGUGACAGCCCCGUACACAAAAGCGCAUGUGCUGUGAGCUCGAUGAGUAGGGCGGGACACGUGGUAUCCUGUCUGAAUAUGGGGGGACCAUCCUCCAAGGCUAAAUACUCCUGACUGACCGAUAGUGAACCAGUACCGUGAGGGAAAGGCGAAAAGAACCCCGGCGAGGGGAGUGAAAAAGAACCUGAAACCGUGUACGUACAAGCAGUGGGAGCACAGGUUUACCUGUGUGACUGCGUACCUUUUGUAUAAUGGGUCAGCGACUUAUAUUCUGUAGCAAGGUUAACCGAAUAGGGGAGCCGUAGGGAAACC